rnacentral:rRNA from 1 species
CUACGGGCGGCUGCAGUGGGGAAUAUUGCACAAUGGGCGCAAGCCUGAUGCAGCCAUGCCGCGUGUAUGAAGAAGGCCUUCGGGUUGUAAAGUACUUUCAGCGGGGAGGAAGGGAGUAAAGUUAAUACCUUUGCUCAUUGACGUUACCCGCAGAAGAAGCACCGGCGAACUCCGUGCCAGCAGCCGCGGUAAUACGGAGGGUGCAAGCGUUAAUCGGAAUUACUGGGCGUAAAGCGCACGCAGGCGGUUUGUUAAGUCAGAUGUGAAAUCCCCGGGCUCAACCUGGGAACUGCAUCUGAUCCUGGCAAGCUUGAGUCUCGUAGAGGGGGGUAGAAUUCCAGGUGUAGCGGUGAAAUGCGUAGAGAUCUGGAGGAAUACCGGUGGCGAAGGCGGCCCCCUGGACGAAGACUGACGCUCAGGUGCGAAAGCGUGGGGAGCAAACAGGAUUAGAUACCCGGGUAGUC